AUUGAACGCUGGCGGCAGGCUUAACACAUGCAAGUCGAGCGAGCGGCGGACGGGUGAGUAAUGUCUGGGAAACUGCCUGAUGGAGGGGGAUAACUAAUGGAAACGGUAGCUAAUACCGCAUACCAUCAGAUGUGCCCAGAUGGGAUUAGCUAGUAGGUGGGGUAAGGGCUCACCUAGGCGACGAUCCCUAGCUGGUCUGAGAGGAUGACUAGCCACACGGGAACGGAGACACGGUCCAGACUCCUACGGGAGGCAGCAGUGGGGAAUAGUGCACAAUGGGCGCAAUCCUGAUGCAGCCCUGCCGCGGGUGUGAAGAAGGCCUUCGGGUUGUAAAGCACUGUCAGCGAGGAGGCGUUACUCGCAGAAGAAGCACCGGCUAACUCCGUGCCAGCAGCCGCGGUAAUUC
rnacentral:rRNA from 1 species